GGGGAUUUAGCUCAGUGGUAGAGCACUUGCCUAGCAAGCGCAAGGCCCUGGGUUCGGUCCCAGCUCCA
rfam:Rattus norvegicus chromosome 10, whole genome shotgun sequence.